rnacentral:lncRNA from 1 species
UCAUGAUCCACCCACGUUGGCCUCCCAAAGUGCUGGGAUUACAGGCGUGAGCCACCGCCCCUGGCCAGGAUUGCUUUUACAGCCAGUCUUCAGGUGCCCACUGUAGGAACAAUGUCAUUUAACCCUCGGGAUUAUUCUGUGCCAAAUAUGGAUAAUGACUAAUAUCCAACACAGAUAUUCUCAGCUCAGAAGAGCAAUUAGCAAAUUCAUAAAUUAAGUGCUUGCUUCCUCUUUAGUCAAAUACAAACGUUUGUUAAAAGAUAUUAUUUUGCUUUACACUUUUUCUCUCAGAAAUAAGCAGAUGCUUGAAUUCCCACAGUGCUGCUUGAGCCUCACACCAUGUCAUCCUGCCAGGCACCCAGAUCCAGUUCUAGAGUUUCACAUGAUCGGUCAUCAGCCUUCAAGCUUCAGUCUCUGUGUGUUCACAGGUGCUGUAAACACACGCAUCACUACUAAUAUCCCACUUCAGUGCUAUUGCUGCUCCCAAAACUCCAGGUAUUUUUAACCUUAUAAACCUCCAGAAUAAUGAGACCACUGGGUUCAGUAAAUUGCUUUGUUUUGAAGCACUAUUAGACAAAGUGGGAGACUAGAAGAUAAAUCUGUCAAUGACAUGUCCUUUAAGACUACUUAGAUUUUGUUGAAUUUGUGGAUCAUUCCUUACUUGAGCAAAUGGUAAAUUAACUCUCUCUUUUCUCUCUCUCUCUAGCUGGCACACUUUUUCCAGUAGCCAUUCUACUUGGUAUGCUUACUUAUCAGCUGUCCUCCAGGGGCCUCACAUUAGAUGUUUCUCUGACUAACCAAACAUGACACACAGCUGAAGUCAGAAAAACCAGAUUGAUAAUUUCACUCAAACUAUUUUCCUUCAUUCUAACAAUUUACUGGAGUACACAAUUGUGACUAUUUUUAGCCAUAGGAACUCAUAGAAAGACCAACUUCAUUAGACCUACAAAAUCGAAUUGUGUAACAGUAUAUGCAGUAUGUGUAGGAAUAAAAAGCAUUUCUCAAAUAUGCAGUACUGGAUUUUGCAAAAGCACCUUACACUUAGCUAUAAAGGAGUGGAAAACACAAAGAUGAGUAACUGCACUUUUCAAAAGACUAGAGCUAUACCAAUAAUACAAAGGUGUAAACAAAUAAUGAUGAGAUGACAAAGGCUGAGUGUUUUCUAUUUGGAAGCUAUGUUGUUGAGUUAUUUAUGUAUAUAAUUUCAUGCAAUCUUCAUGUUAUGGGGAUGUUCUAAUCCACUGUGACUCUGUCCUUAAAUAAAAGGGAGAUUUGGACAUAGAGAGAGGCACACGGGGAGGAUGCCAUAUGAGAAUUGACACUGUGCUGUCACAAGCCAAGGAACUACUGGAAGGAGAGAAAGAGGACUGGAACAGUUCCUUCCUUAGCACCUUUUCAGGCAGCCUAGCCCUGCCAGCUUCUUGAUCUGGACUUCUCACCUCUAGAAUUGUGAGGCAAUAAAUCUCUGUUGCUUAAGUUA